UCAUGUGUAAAGUGACUAUUCUUUUGGAUGCAACGUGUUUUUGCCUGUGUGAUGGUCUCUGUUACUAUAACAUGUUCCUCUACACUAACUCAGUAUAUGUGUGUGUAUAAUUUAUUUAAAGCACAGAAAAAACCAAAGUAGUUUGGGGGGCACGGCGUUCGCUGCGACGAUGCUACCUUACAAAAUGGUCAUCCUCGAUUGCUUUCACAAGUUUAGACUAGGGGCACGGCGUUCGCUGCGACGAUGCACUCUAUGUCACUACAAAUGAGUGAAUUUUACUUGGUACUGUGCUUGUAUGUGUGAAUUAUGAAAAGCUGAGAUAUGUGUUAGUGGAUGUUAUGGUAACAUGGUAAAUCACAUUAGGCGUAAAAUCUGUAACGUUUGGGAAGUUACCAGUGACCGAUUUUUGUGGGAUCUCUCUCUCUAUCCACGGUUUUUUGUGAAUCUUGAAGCUUUCCAUGAUUUUUGAUUUGUGCCUAUCUCUAUCUUGGUUUCCUUAAGUUCUAACCCUAAAUUUCGAAAUUGUGAUGAAGAUAUUUCAACGAUUUUGUUUUUUGAGUGUUUGGAUCUGUUUUUCUCUAUAUUUAUUGCCAUGCAAUCACAUCAUCUUCAUCACUCUUCAUCAUCAUCUUUGUUUGACGUAGAGAACCUUUGAACUUCUCAAGUUGUUUUUAGUGUUGCGGAAGAUGCUAUGGUCACAGUACCAGUGGCAGAUCUUCGAUCGAUCUUGCAACGCGUCAACGAUAUGGAACUCUAUCAUUUGAAAGCAAAGAAGAACUUUGUCGAGUUUCUUUCUUCCCAAAAAGGGGGAGUAGAUGAUGCUGCAGCAGAUGCAGAGGAAGCAAGAGAACAGGCAAAAUGACCACAUCAAGAGAUCUUUAGAGGAGACAGGGGGAGUUUGUUGGCAGUUGAAUUUGAUGGAUCUUCUCUUUGUUUUUGGUGACUUGAUGUUGUUUUCUGAACUCUCUAAUCGGUUUUUCCUAAUCGGUUUUGCCUUGUGUUCCCUGCAUGUUUAGACAACUGCUGUGUUAGUAAUUGCUUGUGCAGGGGGAGCUCGAAGAAAGGGGGAGAUCUUGUUUGGUUUUGUGAAGAAAGGCAAAAAGGGGGAGUUUGUUAGUGUGCGUUAACGUGUGUGUUAUGCUCACAUGUACUCCAACAUUAUCGUUUUUGUUUUGCGCUUUCUUCACCGUUGUUUUGCAGAGAGUAUGUAUGCAGGGGGAGUUUACAGCAAGGGGGAGUGUAUGUGUUUUGUGAAGAAAGGCAAAAAGGGGGAGUUUGUUGGAGUUAUUUUUCUAACUC
rnacentral:lncRNA from 1 species